AAUCAGAGUAAUUCAAUAAAGAGCAACAAGUAAUAAUUGAUUAUUCGCGAGGAAUUUCUCUACUAAGAACAAGAGUGUACUACUUAGGUGUCAUUAGAGGAGUACAUACAAACAAAAUAAAAAGAAAUGCAAAAAUUUAGGAGAGGAAAUAACAUAACCCAGCAUGCCAAUCCUGCAAAAGGCAUGCGGUCAAAUGGAGAAAUUAUUAGCUAUCACCAAGAGUCCAUGAAAGAUAGUUUACAUGGAAUGUCAAGCUAAUAAUAAACAGACAUAUAAACAAGUGGGUUUCGUAAAAAUUUAACCACCAAGCAGAUUUUUUUUUUAAAACAAUUUUAAUAACUGAAAAUGGUCUAUGUGUCUAUUAUUUAUUAGCUUGCCAUUCCAUAUCAACUGCCUACAUGGAAUAACUGAUAAAUCAGGAAUGAGCCCAUCAAAUAGAAUAAAUCAGGAAUUAACCCAUCAAUUAGAAUCAGAAAGUUGCAGCUUUGAGAUUAUAAGCAUGGGAAGCCAUUAUUGUCAACAUAUGGUCAGAGGAAAAUCAUUCCUAAGCAGCAACUGCAACCUUUCCUUGUUGCUUAACCACUUUCAUUUCUGGUUUCGCAAUUCCUUGAAUAUCAGUUAUUCUCAACUUGGUCAGUUCCUGGCGAUGUACUUUGGUUCGGCGGUAAUUCUUCCUUCUCUUCUUCUUGAAAUUUGAAAAUAAUUACUUUUGCAUCUAAUGCCUGAGAGAAACUGAAGAAACCAAAGUGAUUAAAUUUCAUGUGCAUCUAGUAAACAAAAUAACACGUUGACCAUUAAGACCACACAAUUUUUUGUUAACUAAAAGAAUUGAAAAAAAAAAUGCCACAGCUAACAAGCAUAUGAUGGUUAAAGUAAUGUGUUCCUACAGAUAUCCGACUCGUACAGAUUCGAGGUAAAAUAUCUGGUUAGUGCAACAAUAUCUCACCAGAGAGAAAUCUGUAUCUCUUUACCAAUUAACAGUUUCCAAAUGAACUACUGCACCUGAAAUACUUAUAUUCCAAUAUUUACAAGAUAACAUUUUGCCGAAUUAAAAUUAAGAAUGCUCCAAUACUUUCUUACUAGUUACCACUAUACCAGAUUGCCAAACAUCCAAUUGUUAGUUCCUAUAAAUAACCAUGCCUUCAUAUAAAGCAUAUGAAUUUACUUUUUAGGUGAUUCAUCUGGUUUCUGCGCUAACCUUUCAUCCAUAACCAGUACCAUCAACAGGCGUUUUUAUGGGUCAGGAAUCACAUUAUACAAAAAACCUCAAUCAGCUCAAUCCCACAUAUAGCAUCCACCUAUUUGAUCAGUUUGGCUUCCAUUUUAACUUUCCAUCAAUCGUAUAACAAUUUCCUACUAAGACAAAUUAUGAGAGUGAAAUUUAAUAGAUACCAGCUAGUCAACAUAAACAGACAGCAGGUAGGUAGGAUUAAGGCCUGUCAAGAGUUUGCCUUAAAAAAUUAAAUGGGAAUAAGGGAUGAAUCCAAGAAAAGCACAAAAAUGAAAUGAAAACAAUCAAAAUCAGGUAAAGCUGAAUCCGAAAGUUGUGGAACAAAUUCAAAGAAAAUGAUCAAAGGACUUGAAAGAUUUGGGAACAGACAAAGAAAAAGAAAAAGGAAAGAACCCAACCUUUAUUUUUAUCUCCUUUAUCAAAGUACAUUACUCUCCAAUAAGCAGAGUAUUAUAUAACAUAGAGUUACUUGGUCCAGUCUUUGUUUCUCUCAUAUUCUUCCAAUAAUAAAUUGGAAGAAGAGAGGGUGAAAAAAGUAUGGAGUCUUUU
rnacentral:misc_RNA from 1 species